ensembl:lncRNA
CCCCCACCCCCUGGGGUCUCCCCCCUCUAUGUGUGAUAUGUACAUCAUGGUUUCUAUAGUAUAUUGAAUGUUGCUUAUUGUUGGGGACCUCUUGGGACGCCCCGCCCCCAUUGGGACGCUCUCCUCCCAUUGGCCGUCGUUCUGAUGGAUGUGUGAGCGGAGGACCGAGGAGCAGACAGACUGUACGAGUCGAUCCCCGACGGGGUCGCCGGCUCCCUGCUGCCAUGUCUUCCCUCCCUUCCCGAGCGGCGGCGGCGUCUUCUUCAUGACCACACACACACACCAGGAUGUGACCUCAUCCAAACUACAGGAUGUGACCUCAUCCACAAAAACCAGGAUGUGACCUCAUCCGAACAUCUUGUCAAUAAAAACACCAUAAAAAUAAUUCUUGUGCCGAGUCGUCUCCUGGGAGUCCUCUGAGCACAAUGUAGCAUUGUGUUAGCUACGCAACUGAGCAGAUUACUUGAGUUAGCUAGUCGCGCGACAUGGUGGUGAGCUAGCUACAGGUGGUGUAGCUAGUCGCGUGACAUGGUGGUGAGCUAGCUACAGGUGGUGUAGCUAGUCUACUGCCGUGGCGGUGAGCCAGCUGCAGGACAACUCGUUGAGCCCACUAGCUUAAUGAAAUGCAGGCAGAUAUCAAGUGCUUGUAACCAGUGUGUGACCUCCUCCCACCCAUAGAACCGCUAUGGCUGCCCCAUUGCAUUGUGGGCCAGGAGGAUGUGGCUAAUGAUACAACCACACAACUCUGAGCUAUUGUUGGCAGGAGGGGAACUCCGUCUCCUAAAUAAAGAAACCGAACUACCAGCCGUCAUUCUGUUGUGUUUUUUAAUAGCUGUACAUGCCCAAUAUUCAUACACAUUUAAUAAAGCUGUAUUUAUGCUCUGAUAAGACCGUUAUUCAUAUCUGAACGUUUAGAUAAGCUGGACUUAAUACAUGGACUACCUGUUCAGAGUUCACCUGGCUGCAGCAUAGCCAACCCUAUGUUAUUUGUCCUGGCACUUAAUGUAAGCACUUAUUGUAUGUCGCAC